rnacentral:rRNA from 1 species
UUUACGACUCUCAGUAACGGAUAUCUUGGCUCUCGCAUCAUUGAAGAACAUAGCAAAAUGCGAUACUUGGUGUGAAUUGUAGAAUCCCAUGAACCAUCGGGUCUUUGAACACAAGUUGCACCCGAGGCCACCACGGCCAAGGGCCUUCCUGCCUAGGCGUCA